rnacentral:rRNA from 1 species
GACGUAGGGUCCAAGCGUUGUCCGGAUUUACUGGGCGUAAAGAGCGCGUAGGCGGUCCGUUAAGUGUGAAGUGAAAUCUCCAGAGCUCAACUCGGAAACUGCUUCGCAUACUGGCGGACUUGAGGAAUGCAGAGGUGAAUAGAAUUCCUGGUGUAGCGGUGAAAUGCGUAGAUAUCAGGAGGAAUACCCAUGGCGAAGGCAGUUCACUGGGCAUUAUCUGACGCUGAGGCGCGAAAGCGUGGGGAGCAAACAGG